GAUGGUUGGAUGACAUUGUCAACACAGUGGACAUGAGUUGGAAGGACAGGGAAGCCUGGUGUGCAGCAGUCCGUGGGGUUACAGAGAGUCAGGCACGACAGGAACUGAACAACAAACAACAAAGAUAGGGUGGUAACAGCCCUGUCCACGCAGAGACGUUGUGAGGAGUAAACGAGUUAGUACUGGCAGGGUGCUGGGAACUGUCCACUGUAGCCGUCGCUUGUUUUUAUUGUCGCUGUGGGGGCUUCUGGGGGAGGGGAGGGAGUGCAGGACCAGCGUCACUGCAGGGCUGGUCCAGCCCCACCCGCGAUGGCAAAGGCGGAGGAGACAAGUCACAGGCCACCACCAUGCCACCCAGUGCAGGCUCUGGCCCCUCCCUAUCAAAGCGUGCCCCCAGGGAAAACUCCAGAAACUUUGGGAGCCAGUCAGGAGGCAGGCAAGAAAACCGUCCACUCUAGCUGUUUCAUGUAGGAAAUAAAUCUCUUGAUAAAGAGAUUCGGCCCUCAGAACCACUGGGAGCGCUUGAGGGUGUGAAGGAAGGCCCGCAAGUUUCAGGGAAUCCGGAGAGGCUGGAGUUGAACCCCUACUGUGGCCUGGCAGCCCUCUGCUCCAGCCCUUGGUCCUGUGGGAUCUUAUUGCGCAGCCAGAAACCUAUUCAAAGCCGGCUAGCCAAGGGAGGUGGGGAGAGUGGUUCCCUGCGUCCAGCCCUUGAGAUGCAGCCGGGCAUGUUGGAAGGAAGAGAAAUGGUGCUGACACCACCUGGCCAUCCUUCCUUCCCUGACACUCCUGAGGGAGGCAGGGAGAGAGGAACUGGGAGGGGGGUGGUGGGCCAGAGGAAGCCUCACCACCGUGCGGUCGUGUCAGUGCUGUGUUGAGAGCCGACACACGUGGUCUUCAAUCCUCGCGAGAGCCGAGACUGAGAGGUGGUGUGACCGGCCCAGGCUGGAACGCAGGUCUGUCUGCACAUCAGCUCGGGCCCUGCCUCGGGGUGCUCUCUGAGCCAGGCUGGGCGUCAGGAGUCAUCCACUCGGCACCCACUGAUUGAGCACCCACCGUCUACCACCAGAUUGGGUUCCGGGUGCUUGGAACACGGCAGCAAGCAACACAUGACAAAGACCCCAUCCCGUGGAGUUGCGUUCCACUGGAGGAGUGGGAUCUGACCCUCCCUCUUCUGCGGAGGUGUAGAAUUAAUCUGUGUGGUAAGGAUGGAAACCCAGCAGUGGAGAUGAGGGGCAGGGCUGCUUUAUACAGGGGCCGUGGGGCAGGGGGGCCAGGGACGCUUGAGCACAGACCUGAACGUGGAGGGAAGGAGCACUUAAGAGAGAGGAGACAGCAAGUGCACCCCAGCUGCCUGCCACCCUAGGAAGAGUGGGAUGUGAGCGAAUAGACGUCGGGGGAGGUCAGUGUGGCCGGAAGCAGAGAGCCUGGAGACAAGGUCAGAGAGCAGGUCAGCGCCAUGGACCUUUGGCUUGCUUGAGAUGGAGCAGGCGGUUCUGUACAGAGAGAAACAAGAUCACAGAGGCCUCAGAUGCCUCAGGGCUGCGGCAGUCAUCCCGGGUUAGACUCAGAAGAGCAGGCUCAGGGCUAGAAAUGGGGCAGGUUGGGGCUUGUCAUCGGGACGCCAGAGGGUGGUCUGUGGUGUCCUGGAGUCUGUGGUUCUGCGUCUCUUUAAGUCUCUGCCCGCGUCAGGCUGUGGUGUGAGGGUCGCCAGGUACACGUGACAUCCCGAUGGGCGUGUGCAGCCAGCGCGUGUCGCUUCCGGGGUCUGUGUUGUGCUGCAGGUAUGGGUGUCUGAACGUGAGUGUGUGGACAGGUGAUCUGGGCGGGAGCCCGCAGGUGUAUUUCUUUGUGCCUGUGUGGGCGCCUCGCUGGUCUGUAGGGGGCAGCAUUGGGGAAUGUCUUUGAUUUUGGUCCCUUCACUGUCUGGUCCCCCUGCUGGCUUGACCUUCUGCAGCGCUCUGCUCUAAUUUUCGCAGCAAAUCCGAACAGAGGUCCCUGGGGCCCAGGGGGAUUGGCAUAUGCUCCCUGGGGACUUGGGUUGAGUGUCUGCCUUUUGGGGGCAUCGGACAGCUGAAGUAGAGAAGACACCCACCUCCUGGAUCCCACAUCACAGUGUUUAAACCCAGAGACCUCCUCCUUCUCCAGGGACCCAGUUGGACCAGGGCUUUCAGCACCCAGUUAGGAAGGGUGUCUGAAGUUUGAGUCCUGCCAGCCCACAGUAAGAGUCAUAUUCCCAAGCCUGGAGGCCUUGGACUUCAGCACUGUGGGAAAAACAAACAAACAAACAAAAAUACGCUUAGGAGUCAGAGGAAGCUGGGUUCAAGUCCCACUCCUGUCAUUUACUAGAUGUAGUUCGUAACUGUGGUUGAAUGAUGGCUUGGUUUCCUCUCUGUAAAGUGGGGACCUGCCUCAUGGUGUCAUUAUGAAGAUUAAAUGAGAACGUCCUACGUGCCAGGCCCUGUGCUAAGGGGCUUUGCAUGAGUCACCCUGUUAAACCCUCUACAGUGGAUGCUGUCCCCAUUUUACUGAAGAAGAAACUGAGGUCCAGAGAGGUAAAGUUACCUGCCUGGAGUCACUCAGCUAGGAGUGGGAAAACCUGGGUUUGAACUAGGCACUCUGACUUCAAAAGCAGCAGCGUGACACAGUGAAUAUAAAGCUGAGUGCCUGACUUCUGGUAGGUGAUUGGUCAAUUGUAAUUACUGAUGCCAGAUGGCUAUUCAGGGUCAAACUCCUGACCCCAAAGGAUAGCUCUGGACUCUCCUUUCCCCUUUUAAAUUUUAAAGAAGGCAGUGGAAAAACAUCAGACUUGGGAGACUUGAAGUUCUGAUCCUGGCUCUGCGUCUCAUUCACUAUGUGCCUUUGUACUCAACUUUCCAACCCCCAGCUCCAUUUUUCCCCAUCUGUACAAUGGGCACACUCCUUUCCGGCCUGCCUGUAAGGAUCCAGUGUGUGCAGAAGAGCUUGCAGCCUGUUGACUUGUGUCCUCCCCAAAACGUGUCCACAAACCCCAGUACAUCAGAAAUGACCGUGUUUGGAAAGGGAGUCUUUACAGAGCCAAAGGCAUCCCAUGUGCUUCAGGGAUACAGAGCAAGAAGAGAAGACCCAGGGUCAGCCUCAAGGAACUACCAGCAUGAAUGCGGCAGGCCGAGGAAGAGAAGGCUGUGCACUCAACGGCCACUGGAGUUUGGCAAAGCAAAGGAUCACGCUCUGCAGUUGGUUUUCCACAAACUUCAUCCUGAUGCAGUAAAAGAUAAGCAAUUCUUUAGUCCAGUUAUAGAAAGGUUCUGGGCUCCAAUUUAUGCCUUGAGCCAAGAAUUUAGAGAUUGUAGUUUGUGAUUCUUUCUCUUUGAAUUGUCUAGUGUCAUUGAAGCAGCCAGGCCAUCUUUGAAAUCGUGCCAUCCCUAUCCUAUUCCAUGGCAGCGGCGACUCAGGCCCGCACAGCUUUGCCUUCAGUGGCACUUUUUUCCAGAUGGCCACCGGCCAUGAUGUAAUUAAUGAAUUUAAUUGCAUUAGCUAUUUCAUCACCACAUACCACAGGCUACUGGAUUCUCGUCCCUGGACACUAACUGGAUUUUUGCCACCUUCAGCCCAGCUAGAAUAGAUUAUUAUUUCCUCCCUUUCCCUAGGGGUGUUGUUGUCUGAAACCCACCCCUUCAGACCAGUUUCCAAGCCAGUCAAGUAUCUUGGUUGAAAACAAUGAAAACUGACUCUCAUUAAUUUAAGCAGGACAGGGAUUUAUUGGAAGGACACCAAGCAGCUCACAGAAUCGAUUGGAGAACCAGGCUCAGGGAAAGGACAGAUGUGAAGGGGGCUGGCAGCUCAGGACACAGGCAGGGCCCCUGGAGGAAUUGUCUUACGUCUGGGGCUGCUUCCCAAGCCACCAUCACUGGGCACCGUGGCCUGGGCAUAGCCUCUGGCCCCCAGGAAUGAUCCCCGAUUGUCCUCUGCAGCACCUUAGCCGUCCCCAAAUUCAGGGUGGGCUCCUGAGUGAUGGAGUCAGGUCAUGUGUCUGCUCCUUCUGACCGAAGGCGUGUCAGCCUCUGCACUGGGAGGACAGAGCGCCUUCCUAUGAGGGUCAGCCUAGGAGGGUGGUCCCCCAAACAAGAAAAGGUUUUGAAUGCCGAGCAGGAGAAAAAAACAAAAUCAUGAAACAGCACGCUUUCACCUUGGCCAGGUACCGUGCUAACAGGUUUCCAGCAUCAUCUCAGUUUAAGCUUCACAAUUAUGUUUUGAGAGCUGUUACUUCUAUCGAGCUCAUUUUACAACUGGGGAAACAAGCUCUGAGUUUCUUCAUCAGUAAGCCCCAGACUCUGGGGUCGCUGUGAAGACCAGACUGGACAGCUCAGAGCCAGGCUUCUGGAGGGCUUGCCCUGAAUUUAGGCCAACCUUGGCCUUCGGGCCUCAGAGAAGGGGGAGGACCCUGUCCAGUCUGAGCACUUCCUAAUUGUAGAUGCUGCAGCUGUUGGCCUGCUGGGAAUAGGUCAUGGGCCGACGGGGCAGCAGCCCAGGGACAGUGGCAGACACAGCCAAGCCGCCGAAAGCAAACGGGUCAGGAGCGUGUGUUUUUUGGUGGGCCUCCGCACGUGGGCCAUCUGUCGCGGAGCUGACUGCGACCAACAGCCUAAAGCUGGUGCCCAGUGCUACGUGAACAGAGAGAUGCUGGGUUCUGAGAAACAGAGGCGUCAGAGCCCUCUUGUCUCCCAGUUGGGAAGAGGAAGGGGCAUCCGAAAGAGAGGGAGAGAAGCCAGCCAAAGCCCAGGCAGGGACCCGGGAGCCUUCUGCUGGUGGCCCAGGCCUGCCCCGUCAGCCUAGGGGUCUCCCUCCGUAGACAAGGCUCCUACGAGCAGAGUGCCAUCUCGUCCAGCAUAUCAGGGGUCCUGUGUCAGGGCUACGUCUCCAGUCUCCGACUGGGGGCUUUUAGAGGAGGUGUGUCUUCUCUCAGACUAGGGGCCCUGAAGGCAGGGCUGCCUUAGAACAUGGUGUUCUAAGAAGACUCUGUCAGCAAGAGCCACGCAGUUUGAAGGAGCAGAGCCAGAUGGAACCAGAUUACCCUGAAGGGAGGCUGAGACCCAAAGACCGGCAGGGGCCUGCAGGGUAUUUCCCCCAGGGAGAAGUUGACCAAAACAGUAUUUCAGGACCCUUGCCUCCCCAUCAGGAGGAGUUGGGGUGACAGGGUGAGGUGUGGCUUUAGGAAUGCAACCCCCAGAGCCAGGCAGGAGGCAGCCCUGCGGGGGCCCAGGCUUGGCACUGGGCCGCCGACCCCACCCCUUGGAAACGCCUCCGGUUGUUCUGUCCUGGAUGUUUGCGUCCUUGGCCAGGUUCCUGGGUGAUUGCCUCAUCCCACGGAGGCCAACAGAUGUGCACAGCUGGAGGAGGGGCUCCGGGUGGAAUCCGGCCCUGCCUGGUGCUGGCCUGGGCCAGGGGAGCUGGGGAUUUGGGUCCUAGUCCCCACCCCCACCUCUAUUUGAUGGUGUGGCCCUGGGUAGGGCCACGGCCCCCUGGGGCCUCAGUUUCUUCUGUGUCUCAUGAUGGAGGCUCUCCUUUCUUUCAUCAGACAUCAACCAAAGACCCACAAUGUGACCAGCUCUGUAUCAAGCCCCGGGCACGAGCCAGACCCAGCGGUCCCUGCCAUCUAGGAGUUUGUGCUCCUUGGGGAGCUGAUGUUGAGCCUCUGCAGUGGUUUGUGGGGCUCUGGGCUAACAGGGAGCUUCACAGGAAGCAGUUGCAAUUUUUCCCAACCUCUGGCCACAGCCGUGUGGCGGCAGAUCCAGGCAUGCUGUGGUCACUGUGUUAUUACAAGGCCGUCUGUUUGAAAUCCCAGUCCCAGAGGCGAUUCAAAGCUUUUCCUUCCUUUGUCCCCAGCACCAGGCUUAUGGGACUUGGAGUGUCGUAUGCGGGUGUGUGUGUGUGUUACCCCACAUUGGGGGGUGGGGUGGGGAGGCUGCUUCUUUCCUGGUGUUCUGAUGCCAGUAUCUUGGAGUAUUUAGGGGUCCAUGGUCUUCUUCUGGGAUAUUUCCCCUCUCCAUCUUUUUAAAAUGAAAUUUUUUUAGUUUAAAAAAAUUGUGGUAAAAUAUACAUCACAUAAAAUCUACCUUUUUAGCCAUUUUUAAGUAUACAGCUCAGUGGCAUGAGGCGCCUCCACAUUGUUGGCAGCCAUCACCACUGUCCAUCUCCAAAAUGUCUUUCUGAUCCCAAAUGAAACGCCCCUCAUUUUAUUAUUAUUAUUAUUUAGAUAUUAACCCAACACGUUCAGUAAUCAGUUUAUUUUUUGUUGCACUUUUUCGAUGGCUUUUAUUUUUUUUAACUUUUUAUUUUGUAUUGGGAUAUAGCCGGUUAAUAGUGUGGUGAUAGUUUUGGUUGAACAGAGAGGGGACGCAGCCAUACACACACAUGUAUCCAUUCUCUCCCAAACACCCCUCCCAGCCAGGCCGCCACCUAACACUUAGCACAGUUCCCCGUGCUCUUGUUGGCUAUCCAUUUUAAAUACAGCAGCGUGUACAUGUCCUCCAAACUAUCUGCCCCUUCCCCCCAGCCUUCCGCCUCCCCAUUUUAAAAUGACAGCUGUAUUGAGAUGUGACUUACAUAACAUACCGUUCAUCCAUUCAGGGUGUACACACAGUGGUUUUGAGUCCAUUCACAGGGUUGUACCACCAGUAUUACAAUCCAAGUGAAUACAUUUCAUCACCCCGAAAGGAAGCUCCCUUCUGUGAAACAUCCCCUACUCCGUGCUCCGCAGCCAGCCCUCCAUCCACCAAUCUGUGUUCUGUCUCCAUGGAUCCGCCUCCGCCCGACGCGCCAUAUAAAUGGAAUCUUACGCUGUGUGGCUUUCUGUGUCUGGCUUUUUUCGCUGAGCAUAAUGGUUUCAAUGUCCAUCCAUGUGCCAGAGGUGUCCGUGUUCCAGUUCUCCCCCUCUGUUCUUAAGAUGUAGCCUCUCUGGUGUAGGGGCUGAGGGAAUCGGGGCUCAGCAGGCAACAGUUAGGCACCCGAGUUACCCACUCGCGGUCGGGCUCCUCUCUGUGGAUCGAUGCUGACGGCCGCCGAUGCCCUCAGCCGUGGCAGGCAUCUGAAUGCUGGCCCUGCACUGGGCACGUGUGUGUGCGCACUCUUCAUGGGUCCCCAGGGAGCCCCGGCCUCUGCAGUCCCCGCUCUUCCACAACCUCUUCCAACCUCCCCUUUCCAGUUCCCGCCUGCCCCGUGGUUCCUGUUGUGGGGCCCCUGGGUGUGGUGGGGUGCCUUCCUGGAUGGGUACCAAAGAUGGCACAAUUCAACUCUUUCCUGUGAUGCCUGCUGACCCUUAGCCAAUGGCAAGCCUGCAGGCUGCCCCAUGCCCCGUCCCUCCCCUCACGCCACUUCUCUCUAUUUGACCCCACCCUGCCCAGAAGGGCCAGGCUGGAACAAAUCUGCCCCCUGCAGUGCAAGUUUCCCUCCCUGCUUUCAUCAUAACAUGUGAUUUUCUUGGUGUGUCUCCCAUGGGCUUGGUUGGGUAAAAAGGAAAAUCCCUAACGUCCGUAGGAAACUGCAGCUGCCCAUCCCUGUGGAAUCCUUCUCCCCAGUCCAACCUCCUGGAAACAGAGGGGUGACACUGUGGGAGGGCCAGUCUCAUCCCCUGAGCAAGUCCUGAAGAGGUUACUGAGGUCCCUCUUCAGAACACGGGGCGCUCGGCAAUUGUUCACCCCAGGUCUGCACCCCGGGUGUCAAUUCUGGGGCAAAUGAAGACGUCCCUUCCAAUGUCCUGUCACACGUAUAAUCCCGCCCCCAUUUGCUGACAGGUGCUACAGAGGAAGUGUGGAGAAUGCGCUGGUCCCACCUGGGGUGCCCCGAGGAAGUGACUUUCACAGGCCACAUCAAGAGAGCAUCCUGAGCAAAGGGAAGGAAAUGGCAACCCACUCCAGUAUUCUUGCCUGGAGAAUUCCAUGGACAGAGGAGCAUGGUGGGCUACAGUCCACGGGGUCGCAAAGAGUCAGACACGACUGAGCGACUCACACUUCCACUUGCAUCUUGCUCAGAGAAGUGAGGCAACUUUCCUGAGAUCACACAGCAGGUAUUCAGGGAAGCUGGAUUGACUCUGGGCCCAGAGCUGGACACACAGAACACAGGGUAGGCAUGGCCUCUGGAUCUCUUCUGUGCCCCACGACCCCAGUGGACCCAAGCUGGGUGUCUGUCCCAUCCCCUGGGUGUCUGUCCUGUUUCCUGCCCACCCCUUCUCUUCUCUGGCCUUUCCCUGGGAGCCCACAUGGGGCAGGUAUAGCCAGCAUGUGAUCAUGUCAGGGAUGAAAGAAGCCUGACUGGCAAGAGAGAUGAGGGCUUUGGUGCUAGCAGGCCUGAGAUCCCCACGCUCCUCCUCACUGACCCAGAGUAGUCCCUCCCCCUCUGAUUGUCAGUUUCCUCGCUUGUCAAAUGCCUUUCUUAACUUAUAUCAUUCCCAUUUUACAGGACUUCCCUGGUGGCUCAGACAGUAAAGUGUCUGCCUACAAUGUGGGAGACCUGGGUUCGAUCCUUAGGUCAGGAGGAUCCUCUGGAGAAGGAAAUGGCAACCCACUCCAGUACUCUUGCCUGGAGAAUCCCGUGGACGGAGGAGCCUUGUGGGCUACAAUCCAGGGGGUCACAAAGAGUCGGACACGACUGAGCGACUAAAAUUCACUUUCUUUCACACAGAGACAGAGGCAAGGUGGGGUGCCCAGGCCCCCAACACCCAAGCUGAGGCUCUUUCCUCUACCCCUGGCCAGUGUCCUCUCAGGGGUUUGGGCAGAGCCAGUCCCGGCAGACUCAGGGUGGGCAGUUGAUACAGAUGCCCAGUUUUCUGAAGACCAGUGGCACUGGGGCUCUCACGACAGUCUUGCUGGGGGCACCACAGUUCAAGCCAGCUCCCCUCCCCGCACCCAUCUCUGGGCCUGCCUGGGAGCUGACUUUGACUUCCCUGGGGGCCCUGUCUGAUCUGUGCAGACCCUUCCUCACAAACACCAGGCUCCAGCAGUGCGCAGCAUCCCUAAGGGUCUUGGACCCAGAUUCCCGUGUCCCAGACACAGUGUGGUGGGAUAUGGUACCCAGCACGGCAGCGGGGAUGGAGUUUGGCUGAGUCUGUGCUCAUAGGCUUCUCCUGUCCACUCCUGGGUUUGGCUCUGACUCCAGACCUCAGGAGCAGGAAGGCAGAGCCCUGAUGGUCCUCAGUCUAGGCUCAGACACACAUUCACAUCCCUGAGCCCCAGUCCAAGGCUUAGCCUUGACUCUGAUUCCAGGCUAAGACCCCAAACCUGUCCCUAGACUGAGUCUUGCCCCCCAACUCCGUUCCAAGCCCUGAUCAUAGUCCCAGGCUGAGACCUGCCCCUGGUUCUAGGCUGAGCUCUUUCAAAGGAUUAAGCUCAAAACCUUGCCCCCAGCUGAUUUGACUCUGGUCAGAAGUUCAAGCAGGAUCCAGCUCUAAUUUCAGUCUGGACCUCAGUCUUAGACUGAACUGUGAUUGUGGCCACGGACUGACUCUAAUUUCCAAACAACAGAACAACACUUGACCUGAAAUGUAACCCAAGUGGGAGCUCUUCAAAUGGCAGAAUUUGUGCUGAGUCUAGAAGGAAUGUUAGUGCUUCACUGGGCAGAUUUGUGGGGACUGUGUGCCCGGGGGCUCAAAGAGGAGAGGGGAGAAGGAAACAGCAUCUCAAAGAGGAGACGGGAGUGGCCGGAGGGGGUGAAAGCUGUCCCAGGGGAGGGGCUGGAAGGACUCUGGACUCAGAACCCACAGCUGUGGCUCUAAGCUCGUUUACUGUAAACUUAUUUUGGAGAAGUCCACUGGCCUCCCCAUGGCUGUUUCUUCAUCUUAAAAGGGAUCCACCUGCUUUCCUCUCGGUCCCGUAGUUCCCUGAGAGUGUGGUCUCUGCCUUGCCUUUGGGUCUUCUUACAUUCUGACCCUUUGCCUGGGCCACACUCUUCUUUCCUUGCCCGCUCCUACAUCCCCCAAGUGAAAUCCCCCUUCUUCCAGCAAGUCUUCCUGAAGGGUCUUGUGGUGGACAUAACAUGUGUCCAGAUCACCCUUCAGUGAAAGACUUGGUGUUCCGGGUCUGGAAGGCUGUCUGCAGGUGGCCUUUGCCCUCCAAUCGUCAUUCACUUCAGGGCUGCCCGCAUCCAGAGACUGAUCAGGGACUGGUGGCAGGAGGAGAAUCAAAGACCUCCUUGCGGCCAUCUCCGACCAACUCUGGACAGCGCCCUUGCUACCCCUCCCUUUCCCAGCUGUUGCUCUCAGAGCACUCCCCACUAAGCACCUGUGUGCUGACCUCCAGAGAACCCAGCCUCCGACACCCCUAUUUCAAGUCCCAGAUGAUACCCAAGGCACUCGGUCAUCUCCUCUCUAAUACUCAUGAGGGUGUCGGGUGCUUCCUCUAUCCUGUCUCCUUGCCCUGGAUUGUCGUGCGAGAGGGAUGAACGCAGCACCAGCAGCACAGGGCACAGAUGGAGAUGCUGGGGGGAACUCAAGAGGCAGAGAAGUAACAGCAUCCGCAGGGCCCUGAACUCUCAUCCUCUUCACCAUGGGUUCUCAGCUGGCACGUCCUCUGCAUGGCCAGGGCUCCUGUAGAGAGGCCUGACCCAGCCAGCCAGCUGGACAUGCAACCAUCACCAAGAGAAAGGACCCACUCCAGACUGCUGGCCAGAGAGAAUGAAGACGGGGCUCUUCUGUGCUGGUUACUGCUAUGUCUCCUAGAACAGCACCUGGUCCCUUAAGUAGGCACUUGGCACGCUGCUGAAUGAAUAAGUGGGGGUGAAUUGGACAGACUCUGUUCUCCAGUGGCUCCCCUUCCAAUAGGCAGCACUGGCAGCUAACCAGGCAGUUGUGCGUCCUGGGCUGAGUGAGGUGAUGAAGACAUGGGGGGUGCUGGGGGCAGGGCAGUGAGGAAAGGCAGAGAACCCUGCUGGGAGGAUGACGGAAGGCUUCUUGGAUGAGGUCGCAUCUAACCAAGACCUGAGUCCUGAGCAGGAAUUCUCCAUCUAGGAGGGAGGAGGAGAGAGUUCUGGGCAGAGGGAAGUAAAGGGUUAAAGUCCUGAAGGCAAGAGAGAGCCUGGAAAGUUGACAGAAUGUAAAAAAGUUUUGUGUGUCUGGAUCAGAGUGGGGAAGGGGACAGGCACAGAUGAGAGUGGGUUGCGGGCAGGGGUCCGCUUAGGAAGGAUCCGUGCAGACGUUAAGCCAGGAAGUGACAUGACCAGAUCGUAUUUCUGCAUUCUGGUGUUUUCUAAACAUUCAUAAUCUCCGGAUCUUUGCCAUACCCAGCAUCUCUUGUCCCCGUGAUAAAUACUAUUCACUUAAUACUUUACCUGUGACUGAGUCACUUUAAUUAAACACACUCAUUCAAAAGGGAAACCCUUUGUAAACUAUCCUAAUUUGUGUCAUACACACAAACUCAGUGUAAAACUAAACCUAAUGAAAAUGAAAUAAUGUUCCAUUUCACCACCUGCUACAGGCUGAUCCCAAGUCUAUCUUCUCUUAUUAAAAAGGAGGAUUAACAUGUUGGCAAGAUGUUAAAGAUGAGAUAGCACCAAAAACGACUUUCUCCUUAACUAGAUCACCAGAAAGAUUUGAAGAGGAUUCAAAGAAAACAGCUUUCUUGCCAUGAAAGGCAGUGUUACUUCAAACUGUAUCUGGGUUUCUUCUAAGAUUAUUUCAUAACAACAAAAUAACCCUAUACAUGACCAGUGAUACAAUUUCCACAGAGUCUCACUAUAAACCUUUCAGAUAUCUUUGUCUGAAUGGAAGUAGGGUAUGGAAGAGGAAAUGGGGUGGAUGGCUAAGAAAACUGAAGAAGCCAAUCAAUCAAAUUUUAUCCCCUCUCUCCUCUUACACUGUAAAACCUACCCAUCCAUGGUGAGCGUGUCUUUUUCCUUUGCUGAGCGUCUGCUGGCUGUAGAGGGACGUGAGUUUUGGUGGCCAAGGAAGAGGUAAAACUAUGCUGCUAUCCUAGGAAUUCCCAGACUCAGCUUAGGGAGGGCAAAUGAUCUCAAUCAUUGCUAAUGGACUGAGGACGUA